rnacentral:misc_RNA from 1 species
AGUGUUAUAACUAUAUAAGUUCAGAGAUAGUUGUUAAAAUUUAUCCUGAGAAAACUGAGUAUAAAACUGAGUAUGCAAAGGAAGAUGUGAGUGUGCGCGCGCAGGAGUGAAGAUGAGAAAGGAAAAAGGUUUGUGAUAUAUAUAUGCACCAUAACACUUUUAUGAAAUAUUUUUAAUUUUAAUAAUUUAAAUUCAAUGUUAAUAGGGAGUAUUAUUGCUGACAUGAUAAAUUCAUGAAAUAUUUGAUAUAUGUAUUUUAUAUCAUCAUUUUGGUAUAAUUUUUGUACAUAAUUUACCCUUGGUUAUAGCUAUUAUUGUAGAUAUUAGCCUCUAUUUAGUUAAUUUCGUCUUUUUACACUUCUUAGUUUAAUUU